AUGUGCAGGGGGGUGGCCCUUCCUUGCUCUGCUGUCUGGGGUGCUUUCUACAGAGAGGCUUCAGGAUGUACUCACAGAGAAGACAGCGUACAACAGCAGGCAGAGCAGGGCCACGGUUCUCCAGCCAGGGAUGCUGCAGCCACCAGGAGUUGGCAAGACCAGAGGAGAACCUGCCCUGAGCCUUCUGGGGAGUGUGGGGCCUAUGCCUGGGUCCUAGAACUCUGGCCGCCAGACCAGGGGAACUAUCUGUGCUGUUCCCAGCCACAGGGUUUGUGGCAAUCUGCUGCCCCACCACGCCGCGGGAGGCAGUCCCCGGAUCUGGCACUGUGGGCCUUCCGGCUCUGCCCCAAAGUCAAAAUGACCACGACAGGGAAACGUUUUGAAUCCACUCGGGACAUCGAUGCAUCCAGAAGAGCACAACUAAAGACACUCAGAAAGAGGACUCCAGAGCUGCUGCAGGAAGGGGCCAGGACACGGGAUGAGGGUGUGUGAAACGAGGGCAGGAUUUUGUGGGGGACUCGUGGCACUGCGUCGUCACUGUAAUGCAUUUUAUUAAACUUUCACCAUGA
rnacentral:lncRNA from 1 species